CGAAGGGGGCUAGCGUUGUUCGGAAUUACUGGGCGUAAAGCGCGCGCAGGCGGUCUUCCAAGUCAGUGGUGAAAGCCCGGAGCUCAACUCCGGAACUGCCAUUGAAACUGUAAGACUUGAGGAUGAGAGAGGUGAGUGGAAUUCCCAGUGUAGAGGUGAAAUUCGUAGAUAUUGGGAAGAACACCGGUGGCGAAGGCGGCUCACUGGCUCAUUUCUGACGCUCAGGCGCGACAGCGUGGGGAUCAAACAGGAUUAGAUACCCUGGUAGUCCACGCCGUAAACGAUGAAUGCUAGCCGUUGGGCAGCUUGCUGUUCAGUGGCGCAGCUAACGCAUUAAGCAUUCCGCCUGGGGAGUACGGCCGCAAGGUUG
rnacentral:rRNA from 1 species